ensembl:lncRNA
UUCAGGGUAGCCGGGGGAGGCUGGAGCCUGUCCCAGAUGACUAAAAUCCCAUUUAAUAUGCUGCUGCACCAACAAACUACUUGCAAGGCAACAAGAUUUAUUGCAAAGAAGCAUUGUUACAACAAAGAAAUAAUCAAACAAACCCAAGCUAUGUGUAGUAAAAAAUGUACGGGACCUUAGGACCUGCUGCUCAACGUCAGCGAGACACAAUGGACUGUCUGGCCUGGGUAUUUUAGCAUCCCCAAAUCACACAAAAGUGUGUGGGAGGAAUAAUCAUGGAAACAAGAAGAUUUCGCUCUCUCUCUCUGACUGUGAUGAUGAACAGCAAGCAAAGGAAUACGUCUUCAGACAAGAAAAUGAUUAAUGUUGAAAGCUGUUUACAUACAUUUUAAGCUGCCAUGGCUGUCACGAAUGACAUAAAAAUCCCCCUAUAUGUAAUCGGAUUUAUCUUGUCAGUCCUUUUCUGUAUAUGUAAAUACAUGUGCAAAAGCCCUGACAAUGAAAAUUCUGUGAUGGCUACCGCUGGCCACACCAUAAAUGUCAACAGCACUUCUCAGCAGUACACUCAGCAACCGACUGCAGCACCUGGGCCCUCUCAGUCCCACCAGAGAGCGUCCUACCAGCCAGCACCAGCUCAGCCUGAUGACCCAGCUGAGCUCAUGACCACAUCACCCAGCCAUGAACAGCCAUUCCUAAGACCACCACCAUCAUACGAGGAAACAACUGGUCCUGCCUACCCUCUACAACUGAUGCCUUCCAGUGAGACAGUGUUCAUCCCACUGUACCUAUCAGAGGGUACUGUGCAUGAGCACAACGGUCUACAGGACAGCACAGACUUCCUAACCAGCACUGCAUGCGACCCUGAAUUUGUUAUACGCUAGGCUUAAUAGUCAUAGCGCCCCAAGCAGACACAAACAUGAUGCAAAAUAUUUGGCUCAAAUGGAAGUAUGUACUUUGAAUGAAGAUGAGACACAGCAGUGUAACUUGAUGUAUUUUCAAUUUUAUUCUUUAAACCAGUUUUUAGUGGCUCAAGUUAUUUAGAAAAAUUGAAACAUAAGGUCACUGUUUCUCACUAAUUGUCUUUGGCCUUAUUCCUCAAGAUCUCUCCCUCUUGUCUUUACUCUCUAUCGGGGAAAGUACUUGACAGUCAGAUUCAGUUGUCAGCAGUUAGAAGGUGUUUCAGUGUUCAUUAGAAAUGCAUCGAUGGAUGCACAUGCAAGAUAAAUAUGAACACGUUAAAGAAGCUGACGUUAAAGUCAGGCGGUUGUACAGAAAAUCAUUGUGAAGUUAAUAACUUUUGUUAUUAUUUUAUUAUAGUCUCUUAUUAUAUUUUUUUACAUUGGAUACAGUUUGAGUUAUAGAUUUUAGAAAAACAAUCAGUUGUUAAACAGUGCGUCUCUAGUAUCUGUGGAUAUCGUCUCAUCGCUAUCUAUGAAUUUACUGCAGACCUGCAAAGUGCUGUUAACCCUUUUUCUCUGUGUAUUUGUGUGCAUUGCCUUGUAAGUCAUGCCCCAUGUGAAUGAAUUCAAAGAGUGCAAACAUUUAUUACUGAGGGUUUUUUCUCCAUUCAUGUCAGGUCAGCUGAUCACUCACACUUCCUGAACACAUACAGUUCCACUUUUUUAAUGCAUGUUGUUUUCAGUGUGUAAAAGAUGCGUUUACACUGUAUUAUUUUUGUUAGGACAUCACACGCUCCCCCAUUGAGUGAGCUGAAUUCUGGAUCUGUAAUUUAUGCUCUAGACUGAACACUGUUCCUACACAUCCAUUUCCUGCUACCACUGCUGUCAUGAGUGAAAUGUACUACGUCUUUCUCGUUGGUAUCUUGUCAUUCUUUAUCAGCUUCUGCAGCUACUUGUGCAAGAUUGCUGCCAAUGAAGAAGAGUCUGAGGUGGCUACCGCUACUCAUACCUCUCAUUCCCACCAGAGAGCCUCCUACCAGCCAACACCAGCAGAGCUCAUGACCACAUCACCAAACCAUGAACAACCAUUCCCACAAAAACCACCACCAUCGUAUGAGGAAACAAUUAGUACACUCCACCUGAUGCCUUCCAGCCAGACUGUGUUCAUCCCCAGCGAUCCACUGUACCCUUCAGAGGGUAUUGUGCAUGAGUACCGUAUUUUCACAACCAUAAGGCGCACUUAAAAGUCUUAGAUUUUCUUCAAAAAGUGCGGCGCGCCCUAUAGCGCAGUGCGCCCUGUGUGUUGUAAGGAGGACGUAGUAGAGAACACCAUGAGAACGCUAAAGGGUGAAGUGUGUGCGUUGACUUUAUUGCACAUACCUGUAUAAAAGAACAGGUAUGUGCGUUAUGCAGGACAUCGUUGUUUUAACAACCCUGAAAAUGGCAACGAGACACGCUUACGAAGCACAGUUUAAACUGAAGGCCAUCAGCUACGCGGAGGAACAUGGAAAUCGAGCAGCGGCGAGAGAAUUUAAGAUUAAUGAAUCGAUGGUUCGCACGUGGAGGAAGCUGGAAAACAAGCUCCGGCAGGUCAAGAAGACGCAGCUGAGUUUCCGCGGACAUAAGGCGAUCAUCGAGCAAAGAACGAGCGGGAGAAGCGUUUCGACGGUCACCAUUCGGCUAAAAGCAGUUUCACUUUCACUUUUUGUGAAACGGUGCCAUUUUUCCAUCCGGACCAGGACUACGGUAGCGCAGCAACUUCCAGCGGAUUAUAAGGAAAAGCUGGCCAUCUUCCGCUCCUACUGCAGCAAACACAUCGGCGACAAACACAUCCAGCGAUGGAUGACCGAUGGAGACCACAGUUUAACCAAGAGUGGAAACCAGCGCCGGGCGAGUUACGCCAUAAUUUGCCAAUGGAUUGUAGAUGCUUGGGCUAACAUGUCUGCUGGCACUGUUGUUCGAGCUUUCGCAAAAGCCGGCAUCAUUUCCGAGGAGCCGCACGGCACGGAAAGUGACUCUGACAGUGAAGAAAGUGAACCUGGCAUGUUUGAUGAAGAUUUAGCGCAGCUGUUCAAUUCAGACACAGAGGAUGAGGACUUCGAUGGGUUUGAUUGAUGAUAAAAAUGUUGAACUCCCAUCAUACACUUCCACUUCUCCCUGUUAUUGCUGUCAUGAAUGACUUUAACUUACUCUGUGUUAUACUCGGCAUUGUCUUCUGGUGCUGUGUCUUCACCUGCAGCUGUCUGUGCAGGAGCGCUGCCAAUCCAAACUCUGAGGUGGCUGCUGCUACCCACACCUUGGUCACUGCCACACCUCAGCAGUAUCCACAGCAGUACCCUCAGUACCCAGUACCCCCUCAGUCCUAUCAGAGAGUGCCCUACCAGCCAGUACCAGGGCACCCUGGUUACCCAGCUAUGCCUGGCAAUCAAGCUGUGCUCAUGACCAUACCACUCAGCUAUGAACAGCCAUUUACGCCACCACCAUCGUAUCAGGAUGCAAUUGGUCCCACCUAUCCUCUGCAACCAAUCAACCAAUCUUCCAGCCAGCCAGAGUGCCCUUCAAAGCCUCCAGCCCAGCCACAGUCCAAUGCUCUAACUGACAGCUCAGACUUCCUCGCCAGCUCGGCAAACAACCAGGAAUUUGUUCUGCCAUAUAGGCUGGAUACUUAGUGUAUCAAUCAGACAGAAAAAUUUUACCACCUGUUGUUAAUUCAUUAUUUAAUUCAAUUUGACAAACUAAGCCUUGUACACAGGGAAAGUUGUUGUUUGUUAUGUUUUUUGUGUUCACAUGGACAGAAGACUUCCCUGCUAAGGCGUUUAUUUUUUUCCCCAUCUUAUAGCCUCAUUUCCAAAAUGGUUGGAAACGCUGUACAAAAUGUAAACAAUUACUGAAUGCAGUGAUGUGCAAAUAACAUAAAGAUCACAUUUAAAACAAUACAAAGACUUUGAGACUUUUUUCAAGAGAAAUAUCAAAGUGUUAACAAAAAAAUAAUUUGUAGUGAUUACACAGGACACAGUCUCUGUAUCAUUGAAGCUUGAUUUUUUUUUAACCUAAAUUUAAUUUUUAGUCAUAGAAGUGCUUCACUAAACACGUG